GAUCAUGGCUCAGGACGAACGCUGGCGGCGUGCCUAACACAUGCAAGUCGAACGAGGUUUUGGAAAGCUUGCUUUCCGAAACCUAGUGGCGGACGGGUGAGUAACGCGUGAGUAACCUGCCUUUCAGAGGGGGAAUAACGUUCUGAAAAGAACGCUAAUACCGCAUAACGUACAGUUACCGCAUGGUAGCAGUACCAAAGGAGCAAUCCGCUGAAAGAUGGACUCGCGUCCGAUUAGCUAGUUGGUGGGGUAAAGG
rnacentral:rRNA from 1 species